rnacentral:rRNA from 1 species
GGAUCUGCCUGUUGGUCGGGGAUAACAGUUGGAAACGACUGCUAAUACCGGAUGAGCCGAAAGGUAAAAGAUUUAUUGCCAACAGAAGAGCUCGCGCCUGAUUAGCUAGAUGGUGGGGUAAAAGCCUACCAUGGCGACGAUCAGUAGCUGGUCUGAGAGGAUGAGCAGCCACACUGGGACUGAGACACGGCCCACACUCCUACGGGAGGCAGCAGUGGGGAAUUUUCCGCAAUGGGCGAAAGCCUGACGGAGCAAUACCGCGUGAGGGAGGAAGGUUCUUGGAUCGUAAACCUCAAAACUUAUGGAAGAAACAAAUGACGGUGCCUAAUAUAAGCAUCGGCUAACUCCGUGCCAGCAGCCGCGGUAAUACGGAGGAUGCAAGCGUUAUCCGGAAUUAUUGGGCGUAAAGAGUCUGUAGGUGGCACUUCAAGUCUGCUGUCAAAGACCGAAGCUUAACUUCUGAAAGGCGGUGGAAACUGAAGAGCUACAGUAAAGCAGGGGUAGAGGGAAUUCCCACUGUAUCGGUGAAAUGCGUAUAGAUUGGGAAGAACACCAAUGGCGAAAGCGCUCUGCUGGGCUUUAACUGACACUGAGAGACCAAAGCUACGGUAGCCAAAGGGA